rnacentral:rRNA from 1 species
AGGCAAACGGAGAGGACCGUAUGGUCCGCCCGUCGGAUUCAGUCCGCCUGCCCGGCGGAGUCGUCGGUCGCGCAUCUCUCUCGGGAGCGCGUCGGCGAUUCGUACGUCGGGCGGCGGCCGUACUUUCGGCGGGCGGAGCGCCUCGACCGGUUCGCGGGCGGCGAGAAACUCCCCGGCAAGGUGACCGUCGCUUCGGCGUCGGAGCAUACAGGCCGGGUGAGCGUCGGCCCGUCUGCGGACCGAGGUAGACCGUCGCGGCGUCGCGUCGACCGCCGGUCGUGCUUGUGCGUUCGACUCGGGGGGACUGUUUUCAGUGCCCUCGGACCGCGUGCUCGUACCGUCCGGACGGCCCGGCGCGGCGCUUGGGGUCAGAGGCGAAACGGCCGGCAACCUGUCCGACCCGUCUUGAAACACGGACCAAGGAGUCUAACAUGUGCGCGAGUCGUUGGGCGCUACGAAACCCGAAGGCGCAAUGAAAGUGAAGGCCCGGUCUCGCACCGGCUUCGGUGGGAUCCGGGCGGUCUCGGCCGCUCGGCGCACCACCGGCCCGUCUCGAUCGUAACGUCGAUGAGGCGGAGCAAGAGCGUACACGUUGGGACCC